AAAUAAUUACUUCUGGCAGGGACCUCUGAGAGAAGUUGUGGGCCCAGAAAGUGCUCCUGCUGCAGUGACUACAGAUGGCAUGCAGGAACAAGAUGGGAAAUGUGUUUUGUCGCAAACCAGAUGACGUGAACAAUGCUUGUUUGCAUUCUCUUACCCAUAGAUGUGCUAAGGGCUUAGAAGGAGUAACUACUAUUCAGCAUAUUCAAAACCAAAAUAAAUAGAUCCACCCACUCCUAAACAAGACUUAUUGACAGGCUCCAGUUUAGGUCUGCACCUGUGGUAAAGUGAAUACACUUUACCGUAAUCCCAGUGGAAUUUCAGGUUUGUGACGCCUCCCGGGACCUUGCAGGAACUGCCAUAUUUUUUCACCCGUUUUGGACUUCUGCAUUUUACCAAAGAAAAAGCCUGGAUCCUGACAUUUGGGAGAAUUUCACUACUGUGAAGAUGGCAUGCAGAAUGGCAUCUCCUGGCACAUUGCUUUUUGUAACAAGUUGACUGAUCCUUUGCAAAAUGCAGCUGAGGACCAAAUGAAGUAUGAGUACCAAAUGAAGCAUCUGUCUCUCACUUUCUUUCUGGCUUGGCUGUGUGCCUCUUGCCUUCCUUACAACAGCAGAGCCCUGCUUUGCUCAAAGAGCCGACCAAGACUUCUGGAUGUGAACCAUCAAAGAAGCCAUUUUGCAUCUUGCCUUCAGGUGGUUUAGUCUCUCAGUGAAUCUGUCCUUGCUCGCUGUGGUUGAAUGCCAAAUGCUGCUGUUUAAUUCACGCUGAACAGCAUCAUAGUGUACUGAAGGGCAUGGAACUAUUUGUAAAAUUAGGAGCAAAUCUGUGAGUUUAGUUUCAAAAUCUGAUUUAAUGUGGUCUGAAAUUCAGUGAGAUUUAAUGAGAAAUUGGAAAACAGGCAUCUUGCAGACCACUAUCUUUUUAGCACAGUCACCCACCCACUCCAAAAUACCUCUGCUGGGAAAUUUACAGUCUGUUCAAAUUUGACUUAAAAUACUCUGCUGCUGCCCACUAUUCACAGACAAGCUUUGACUCUGAAUGACCCCCUUUCCUUUGUAAAAUGAUUGGAUUAUUAUUAUUAUUUUUUUUUCCCAUGUAACUGUA